rnacentral:ncRNA from 1 species
UCGGUUCAUUUGCUGAUUAAAAAGGGAAUCGGGUGCAAAUCCCGGACAGUCCCGCUGCUGUGAGCAAUCUUUCAGAGGCGAACAUACAAGCCACUGUCGGUGCAUGGCUCUGUGAAGGGCGGCAUAACGAUGGGAAGGCGUUCGUUGUCGGAUUGUGAGUCAGAAGACCUGCCAUUGCCA